AUGAACGCUGGCGGUAUGCUUAACCCAUGCCAGUCGAACGGACUCUUCGGAGUUAGUGGCGGACGGGUGAGUAACGCGUGAGAAUCUGGCUUUGGGUUCGGGACAACCACUGGAAACGGUGGCUAAUACCGGAUGUGCCGAGAGGUAAAAGAGAAAUUGCCUGAAGAUGAGCUCGCGUCUGAUUAGCUAGUUGGUGAGGUAAAGGCUCACCAAGGCAGCGAUCAGUAGCUGGUCUGAGAGGAUGACCAGCCACACUGGGACUGAGACACGGCCCAGACUCCUACGGGAGGCAGCAGUGGGGAAUGUUCCGCAAUGGGCGAAAGCCUGACGGAGCAAUACCGCGUGAGGGAAGAAGGCUCUUGGGUUGUAAACCUCUUUUCUUAGGGAAGAACAAAAUGACGGUACCUAAGGAAUCAGCAUCGGCUAACUCCGUG
rnacentral:rRNA from 1 species